CAGGUUUCCCAGCGACAGCGUACGGACCCGUGGCAGCAGCAGCAGUGGCGGCAGCACGAGGCUCAGGGUUCCCCGAUUACGGCUUUUAUUCUGGGCCCAGUGACCAGCGGGGCGCCCCCUGCUCCUUUGCCGACUAUGCCAGCCUGGGUCCCCAUACGGGUCAGAUGCUGCAAAGCGAGCACGUCACCCCUACCUGCAACUCACCCUCCCAGCACCACCCAAGCCCGGACCACUUUAAGAGCUCAGGUGCUAACCCUCCACGGCCUGGAGGUUUUCCAGGUGCAAACAGUCCUGGACCCGUGGCAGACUUGUACGGCCCCAGCAGUCAGGACUCAGCAGUGGGAAAUUACAUCAGUGCUGCCAGCCCUCAGCCGGGUUCUGGGUUCAAUCACAGUAUCGCAGGUCCUUUGAUCGCCACAGCAUUUACAAAUGGAUACCACUGAAAGCUAGCCGGAGAUGUGGCACAAUCUCAUUGGAGAGUUCAUCGGGAAGCCCUGGAAAAAGGGCCGGAGUCUCUGAUUAGUUCGUGUACAGUUGAUGUCAUAAAGACUUCAAGCACUACAGGUUCUGAUUGGUGAAUGGACAAGAGGGGUGGAACCAAACACAGAGGACAAGAAAAAUACGAUCAUCUCAGAAAACAAACAUCACAACUGCUGUAAAUGUUAUCCAACCCUCCUGUCACUGCAGGACUCCUUCCCAUUUUUCUUUUCCACACGCUGUUUUCUUUGUGUAUGCUUUUUAAAUGACUUCAGCUUUUAGACAAACAUACUUAGAUGAGUGAAUUAUUCAGUUAGCUGUUGUCACAAUUUUGAGUUUUUUCCCCUCGAUUUUGGUGGCAGUUAACUUUAUUUUUGCACAUAUGGACAGACACCAUGUCAUUCAUCUAUUGGAAAAAAGAAAAUCAUCUUAGUAGCCGUUUUUAAUUGUGAAGUCUCAUUGUUGGUCAUACUGACUUAUUUUUGGGCAAUACAGAGGGAGAGGACUCCAAUAUUUUUAUGGUCCUUUUUAUAUAUAUAUAUAUCUAUCUGUGUUGUUGUUGUCAUUUAGAGAGAAAAAAAAUGUGUACUGUAA